GACCACCUUACGUGGGUCCGCCUUAAAUUUUGAGUUUGUGUGAUCGCUGUUGAUUGGUAGCUAAACUGCUGGUAAACCGUGUACAGACGUUUUACGUUCGAAUUGCAGAGAAAAAAAAAUUGUGGUAGCAACAUUGUGCAGUAUGAGCGAACCAUUUCACCAAAAAAAAGGGGAAGCAAGGCAAGACGUGGCUGCAGCGGUCUGCAGACGUGACUUCUGAUCAAAUUCGAACCUCCUCCUAAAGAAACAAAGAGCGACAUUACAGUGCAGGAUGACGUCACCUGAAAAUGACCAAUAGCGUGGCGCGCUGCUGAGCUGUGUGCCAACCUCUCUUUUUUUCAUGCAGGAGAUUCAAGUUGGCUUAGCUAACAGACACAGUUUUGAACUCGUAUAUUAGCGCCAUUUAUUGCUGCUUGGACCACAGCAUCUUCAGAAUUUGUAGACAUCCUGGCAGCUUACAAUUAGUUCGAGGGUGCUGACCCAAAUCUGUGUGGACCAGAACGUACCAAAGAGAACUACAACUCUGCUGUUGAUCACCUCCAGAUUGACAAUACACCAGACGUCGAAGGAGUGAAGUUCAGACACUGAAUUUGAGCAGAAACCAUAAGGAUACUCAAAGGACCUGUGACUCUCAGGAAAUGAAGGUAUCUAGCCAGUCCACAAUGAAAGCUUCGUUGCACCCCAUGAGUCUUCUGGCAGAAAUGAUGGCACCUGUAUUCUUUGGUUUCCCUAAACAUCACACCCUGCCUGUUUAUACGAGGCUCUUCAGUUAAGUCUGCACCCAAAGAUUCAAUAAGAGGUAAGCAGUGGUAUUAUUCAAGUUUUGCUAAAAAAAAAAAGAUGGACAGGAGACACUAAUCUUAAUCAGCCGAGCUCAGGUUCAUGUCCAGGUGAGCAGUUUCAUAUGCUAUAAAAUGUAGAUUGAAUGAUAGGUCUCAUCACCAUGCAUUCAGCCAUUAACUUAAAGUUCUAUGAUAAAUCAAUAGGAAACUUAAAUACGUUUUCCAACAAAUUAUGAUUGUGAUUAGGGCUGCGUUGUCUAUGUAUCACUUUUACAUAAGUAGAUUUAAAUGAUAACUAUUGCCAAAACGCAACCUGGGCUGUUUUGUUUUUUUUCUGUAUCGAUUUUGAUGCACUCAAAUUUAUGCCCCGGCCCCCUAGUAUUCCCAUUCACUGGCUAUUGACCACAAAACAAA
ensembl:lncRNA